rnacentral:rRNA from 1 species
AUGAAAGAGUAUGCAGAUGCAGCUAGAUUUCGUGGUCAGAAUGGAUGGACGAAAGAAGGAUGGAAUUCCAUGACUACACGAUUGAAUAAUCAGUUUCCAAGAGCUAAUUUCAUUGUUUGUCAACUAAAAUUUAGAGAGCAGCGGUUGAAGAGAGAAUAUUUUGUUGUCAAAUCUAUUGUAGAGAAGAGUGGCUUCGGUUUUGAUCCUAAUACAAAAAUGUCAACAACCAUUGAUGAAAAACGGUAUGAAUUGAGCAAAGAACAACAAAAGUGGAGAUACAAAGCUUUCCCUUACUAUGAUGACUUGCAUGCAAUUUAUGAUGGUAAAACAUCGGAGGGGAAGGGUUGUAAGAGGACAACUGAUGUGGUUGAAGAGAAGUCCAGUCCGGCUACAUAUUUACCACAAGGGGAAAGCUUCACACAACAAGUCUAG